rnacentral:misc_RNA from 1 species
GUAACAAGGUUUCCGUAGGUGAACCUGCGGAAGGAUCAUUACCGAGUGCGGGCCCCUCGGGGCCCAACCUCCCACCCGUGUUGCCCGAACCUAUGUUGCCUCGGCGGGCCCCGCGCCCGCCGACGGCCCCCCUGAACGCUGUCUGAAGUUGCAGUCUGAGACCUAUAACGAAAUUAGUUAAAACUUUCAACAACGGAUCUCUUGGUUCCGG